GUGAGAACACAGAAUAGAAACAAGAAUGAAGGAAAAUUCAACCCGGUAAAAGAUGAAAUUAAACAAUUACAUACAGAACUACCUUCCUGUGAAAUAGGUGGAAUGACUGCCCCAAGGUCACCUGGAAAACCUUCAUGCCUGAAGGGAAACUUUAAUUUGAGUCCCCCAGUCCAAGUUUGAAAAAUGGAGGUGUGAAAGUCUCGCAUGGGAUGUUCUCCAAGGAUUCAAUGGAAGAAUAGGCGGUCAGGAAGGAACAGAAGAAUGGAUCAAGGGAGAGGCAUCCAUUGCAAUUAAGUGCAAGGCAUAACACCGAAGCACAAGCGCUAAAGAAGUGCAGGACGGCGGCAGAGACCAAACAUCCAUCUGAUGCACAAAACAGGACGGUUUCAUUGAC